UCGAGGGGCAGCGGGAGUAGCAAUACUUGCCGGCGACCGGCGCACGGGUGCGUAACACGUAUACAAUCUGCCUUCUACUGGGGGAUAGCCUUUCGAAAGAGAGAUUAAUACCCCAUAAUAAAUGAAAUAGCAUUAUUUUAUUUUGAAAGAUCCGUCGGUAGAAGAUGAGUAUGCGUCUGAUUAGCUAGUUGGUGAGGUAAUGGCUCACCAAGGCUACGAUCAGUAGGGGAUCUGAGAGGACUACCCCCCACACUGGUACUGAGACACGGACCAGACUCCUACGGGAGGCAGCAGUAAGGAAUAUUGGACAAUGGAGGCAACUCUGAUCCAGCCAUGCCGCGUGAAGGAUGAAGGCCCUAUGGGUCGUAAACUUCUUUUGUACGAGAGAAAACCAUUUCACGUGUGAGAUGUUGAUAGUAUCGUAAGAAUAAGGAUCGGCUAACUUCGUGCCAGCAGCCGCGGUAAGACGAAGGAUCCAAGCGUUAUCCGGAUUCAUUGGGUUUAAAGGGUGCGUAGGCGGAUUUGUAAGUCAGUGGUGAAAGCCGAUAGCUCAACUAUCGAACUGCCAUUGAUACUGCAGAUCUAGAAUAUAGAUGAUGUUGGCGGAAUAUGACAUGUAGCGGUGAAAUGCAUAGAUAUGUCAUAGAACACCGAUUGCGAAGGCAGCUGACAAAACUAUUAUUGACGCUGAUGCACGAAA
rnacentral:rRNA from 1 species